ACGGAGGAGGCAAGCGUUGUCCGGAAUUAUUGGGCGUAAAGCGCGCGCAGGUGGUUAUAUAAGUCUGAUUUUAAAGUUCGGGGCUCAACCCCGUGAUGGAUUGGAAACUGUAUAACUUGAGUACAGUAGAGGUAAGCGGAAUUCCCAGUGUAGCGGUGAAAUGCGUAGAUAUUAGGAGGAACACCAGUAGCGAAGGCGGCUUACUGGGCUGUUACUGACGCUGAGGCACGAAAGCCUGGGGAUCAAACAG
rnacentral:rRNA from 1 species